rnacentral:lncRNA from 1 species
UUAUCAUGUCAAUCGGGAUUAGCUCCAAGAAGCUUGAACAUCAUCCAGGACACUUUGUGGGUUCUAUUUAGAUGAUCAGUCAACACAAGGGAAAGACUUGAGUUACUUCCAACAGGGGUCUAUUCGUCAGUCAAAACGUUAAGCUUGAAGGAGCAAAGGUUUGUUCAUGAGAUGUCAUGCUUGCUAGGCGAAGCCCACGUGUUGUGCAAAAAAAAAAAAGAACGAAAAACGAAAAAAAAACGAAAAACGAAAAUAAAUAAAUAAAUAAAAUAAAAAAUCUCAGACUUGGACCUCUCUCAAAAGCCCAC